rnacentral:rRNA from 1 species
UACGAAGGGGGCUAGCGUUGUUCGGAAUCACUGGGCGUAAAGCGCACGUAGGCGGAUUGUUAAGUCAGGGGUGAAAUCCUGGAGCUCAACUCCAGAACUGCCUUUGAUACUGGCGAUCUUGAGUCCGGGAGAGGUGAGUGGAACUGCGAGUGUAGAGGUGAAAUUCGUAGAUAUUCGCAAGAACACCAGUGGCGAAGGCGGCUCACUGGCCCGAUACUGACGCUGAGGCACGAAAGCGUGGGGAGCAAACAGG